CAAUAGCGUAUAUUAAAGUUGUUGCAGUUAAAAAGCUCGUAGUUGGACCUUGGACCUGGACAGGCGGUCCGCCUCACGGCGUGUACUGUCUUGCUGGGUCUUUCCUCUUGGUGAUCUGUUGUUUCGGCAGCAGGGAACCAGGACUUUUACUUUGAAAAAAUUAGAGUGUUCAAAGCAGGCUCGACGCCGGAAUAUAUUAGCAUGGAAUAAUAAAGUAGGACGUGCGGUUCUAUUUUGUUGGUUUUUGGAAUCGCCGUAAUGAUUAAUAGGGACAGUCGGGGGCAUUAGUACUCACAUGCUAGAGGUGAAAUUCUUGGAUUUUGUGAAGACUAACUUCUGCGAAAGCAUUUGCCAAGGAUGUUUUCAUUAA
rnacentral:rRNA from 1 species